rnacentral:tRNA from 1 species
UCCCUGGUGGUCCAGUGGUUAAGACAUCAACUUUCCACUUCAGGGGGCACAGGUUCGAUUCCUGGUCAGGGAA